rnacentral:lncRNA from 1 species
CUUAAUUGUUCACCGGUGACAUUAAAUAUAAUAAAAUAUUUUCAAUAUAAUAAUUGUUAAAUCUAGUGAACAAAGUAUAUAGAGGCAGACUGCCUUGUUUUCAGAUUAAUUUUGGGCAUUGGUUUGAUCACUAAUUUUUUGGAACCUAUACCCGAAUAUAAGAUAGUAAUAUUUAUUAUAAGAUACGUAACAUAUACAUUACUCCCACGGUCCAUUUUAGUUGUUAUAUUUUUCUUUUAUAUAUCCUUUAGGAAAUAUUAAUAAGAAAGGUUUUUUUACUACUAUACCAUUAUCUAUAUUUUCAGGUUUAGGUUGUUUAUACUUUGUAAUCAGUGUUUUAUACAUUUUACAUAAUUUAAUACUAAGGGAAAUUAAAAAUUAAUAAUUAAUAAUGACAUCUUUGAGUUUAAAAAAUGUUAAGUAUUUUGAACUAGUUAUUUUUACUAACCACAACAACUAAAAUGGAAUGGAGGGAGUAGGAAAUUUAGCGUAAGUCAUUACAUACAGGAGAAAGUAAGCAUCCUUCACUUGUCCUCUUGCACUUGGCUUUCUACAUAACAUAAUUCGGAAUUAAAAUGUUAUUUCAAAUCGAUAUCAAUGCCAAAGUAAUAAAAUAUAAGAUAUGUAUCUCGUAUAAUCAUAAUAUAUAAUCUUAAUUUUAUUUGGGAACACAUUUUUUCUUCAAUUGCCGUAAAAUGUUUUCGUACCAAGAGCAGGAAAUAUAUAUUUUGAAACUUUUCAAUUGAUUUUCAGCCUUCCUCGCCCCACUCCCACCUUUGCCGGAAAAAUAAAUUAAAAAAAGAGCAAUUUACAAUUGCUAAUGAAAAAAUAGUCAUAGUUUCAAAAAAAUACUAUUAAAGAUAAAAUUUGAAUAAAAACAUUCUUAAAAAUUCUAAAAAAUUCUAGUAUUUGGAGUUCCAAUUUUUUAUAUAUAAGGUUCAAGUAUAAUGUAUUGAAAUUUUAUAAUACGGUAGAGUUCCAACGUAAGACGUGGGAAGUUUAUAAACAGGAGUUCAAUCAUUCAACAUAUAUAUUAUGCUAGAACUUUUCGUAUAUUAAAGUUUCAACAUAAUAUGCUAAAAGUGUAUUUGUCUGAAUUAUAUAUAAAUAUUUUUGGGAUAUUAUUUUUUGCUCACUAACCAAACAUGAGUUAUCAACUCUUUCAUUCUUUUACCGAUUCGACGAGGGAAUUGAUAUGAUAAAUUAUUGUACAAUCUGUGACUAAUCAGCAAAAUUGUAACAUGAGACAUAUUCCUGGUAUGUGAAUAGCCGAGGAAGCAGACAAUAUUAAUGAAAAUGCAGAUAUUCGAAAGCGGGUGACGAGUGCACGUAAGUCAUCCUUUGAAUUAAUUGAGGAUAAGUUAGCUGGUCAACAUAAGAAAAUUCUGCACGGAAAAAAAUCGAGUUUACACGCGAAGAUUAUGUGUCAAGAUAUAUAGAAUAAGAGUUACAAUUUGACAAAGAGAUACGAAUAACAAAAGAUACAAGCAAGGGCAAAAGAAGAGGCACAAAUAAUUAUUCAAACGAUAUAUCGCUCAUACGUAUUCAAGUCAUUUAGAUCCGCGAAUCAAGGGAAAUAAAUCUGACAAUAUAUAAGAGUGCAGAUGCAAUAUUUAAUGAGCAGUAAACGUUCAAUACGUUAGAGAAUCUGUAUUACUUUCUUUAAUGCACUCUUCAGAUUAUCAGUAACCUGUGUUCUUCUAAAUUAUAGCUUUAAUCACAAAUUCAUUUUUUGUUAAACAAAUUCCGCAACUGAAUUGUGAUCAAGAAAUAUUCUAUUUUCUUGGUUGUUAAGACAAUUGUGGUUCCCAUCUAUAAAAAGAAGACAAUAAUUCAAGAAUCAAAACCCACCACAUAAAUUUCCUCAAACAUAUAGAAAAGUAUAACUUAAUUUGUGAGAUGGCAGAAGUGAAGUUACUUGGUGUUUCGCUCCAGUGGCGGAUCUAGGAAUUCAAGUUUGUGGGUGCUGAAUUUUUUUUGUACAUAAAAUUAAUGGGUGCUUUUGUAGAUUUUUAUACGUUUUCUCAAAUUUUACUCUGAGUCGAGGUUAAUGGGUGCUCGAGCACCCAAAUUUCAUGUAUAGAUCCGCCACUAAUAACUAUCCUGUUUCAUAUUAAAAAAGGGAAAAAAAGACAGUAAACUGGUCAAGCUUAUAUACAAUCGAAAACUCCUACACCUACAAAACUUGACUGAAAACUUGAAGGUAUUUUUCAGAUUUAUUUCUUGAUGAUACUCAUGUAACUUUUAUUGAUCCCAUAUAAAAGUAUUAGUAUAAAAUUUUUUAAUGGGAUAACGAUUUAUUUGAUAAAAAAUUAAGUAAAAUUUACUCUAAAUUAUUAAAUUGUUAAUAAUAAAAUCUCAAUUAGUCCACUAACCAUUACCUCGAUCACCAGGGGCGGAUACAUGCUUCCUCAAGCGGUGUCAUGCGACACCACUUCAUCGAUAAUUUUUACUAAAUAUAUGUAUUAAUAUUGUAUGGAGAUGGAUAAGUAAGAAAAAAAUGACAUCACUUGACAUAAAUUGUAUUUUGGUGUGUUGGUUUUUUUUGCUCUAAGAGGUCAAAGGUUCAAACCGCAACUGACACAUUUUUCGUUUGUAAAUUUGAGAGGGCCUUUGUAGUUAAAAAUUGUGAUAAAGUAAAAUUAAACUCAAAUUCUUUUUUAACUUAUGACUCAACAAAACAAAUAAAUUAAGGUUAUUUCUUGUUUAAAAGUAUGAUAAUCCAAGUAAUAUUUCAAUUCUUCUAUAAAUUUCGACACCACUUACAAAAAUUUCUUCAUAUGCCUUUGUCGAUAACCCGAUACUAAUAAAUCAGUAAAUUAUCGAGUCGCCUCGAUUAAUAAUUAUGGUUCAAUUUUGAACGGCCAUACCCAAACGAAAGCUUAGUUUUUGGGUGAAGUGAUAUAAUUUAUGAUAAUUUCUAUUUAAUUUUUAUUUCUCACCGCUCGGACAAUGUUCGUGUAAUGUUAUGUAGGAAAAAAUAAGGUGCUUAGAUUAUGGACCCAUUUGUCCCUAAAUUAUUUUGUUCUGUUAUGAAAUAGAAGAUUCUUACACUUCUAUUUAAGGUGAAUGUCUUUAAUGUAUCUAAUUAGAGAGAUUUUAGAGUUCUAUCAUAGAAAUCUUAAUUCUUAUUAUGUGGUGGUUAUCUCUUGAGUUCUGGUCUUCUUUUAUAAAGGAAAAAAUUAUGAAGUGUCUUUUUAACCAAGCAACUGCAACUUUUCCUCUUUGAAAAGUCAAUUUUUUGGCUUGAUGCUUCCAUAUUGACUGAAGAUAAUUAAUAAGCACGUCUUAAAAUGUUAGGAAGUGGAAGGUUCAAUUCAUUUAAUAAAAUAUUUAUAUCAGUAGGUACAUAAUAUGUAUUUGCACAAAAGCUUUUUCACUUAAUAGUGAUUAGAUAGUAAUUGGUAUUCUAACUGCAUGUAAGUUUUAUCAUUAGAUUUGUAAUGGACCGGCCAGUCGUUCAUGAGUUACCGCUUCGUUUCCUCCAUUUCUACUUAUUAUUGCCUUGUUCAACUGUAUUAUGUGCUAUCGGGUUGGUUGGCUCGGGUUCGGAGAGGUUUUUGGUAAAGUUUGAGACACGUAGUCUCUUUUGAGUAAGCUUAAGUUCGAAAAGUAAACCGGAUGUUGACUUACGUGUUAGAGGGCUCGGAUGUGAGUUCCGAUGGUAAGGAUAGCUUCAGGGGGUGAUUUGGGACUUCGGAAUGUAAUCGGAAUAUAUUUUGGAGGUCCGUAGUAGAUUUAUGCUUGAAUUGGCGAAAUUGAAAUUUUUGCGUUUUCCGGAUAAUAGGUGAGAUUUUGAUAUAGGGGUCAGAAUGGAAUUCCAUGAGUUGCAGUAGGUCCGAUGUGUCAUUUGGAAGAUGCGUGUAAAAUUUCGGGUCAUUUGGAUGUGGUUUGAUAGACUUUUGAUCGAAAGCAGAAUUUGGAAGAUUUUAGAACUCUUAGGCUUGAAUCCGAUGCCAAUUUGGUGUUUUGAUGUUUUCUUGAGCAUUCCGAAGGUUGGAACAAGUUUGAAUGAUAUUAUGGGAUAUGUUGGCAUUUUUGGUUGAGGUCCCAAGGGCUCCGGAUGAGUUUCGGGUGGUUAAACGGAUCAUUUCAAGUUGAGAAAAAUUGCUGAAAAUCUGUUGUUGAUGUUGUAGACAGUUGGCCUUUGCAUUCGCCAGUAGGCCCUUGCAUUCGCGAAGGGUUAGGAGGUGAGAUUAGAGGAUCCGAGUUCGCGUUUGUGAAGGGCUGGGGUCUUUGAGCUACGCGUUCAUGAGAGGGAAGACGCGUUUGUGAUGGGUGAAUAAGUUGAGUCUUCACAUUCGCGAGAGGGGGGCCGCGUUCAUGAAGAAGGAAAAUUGGUCAACUCAAAUUUGUGCUUCGUGAACGCGAGGCGUUGACCGUGUUCGCGAUGAAGGAUUUUUAAGUGCUGGGCAGAAUGUCCAAAAAACUCAUUUCAGCGAUUUUUAACCUAAGUUCCUUUAUUUUUUAGCAAUUUUGAAGCUUUUUGAAAGGGAUUGAAGAGGGAAUCAAGGGGGAACACUUAGAAGUAAUAUUUGUGGACUUAACACUCAACCCUAAUAUGAUUUCUACCUAAUUAAUCAUGAAAAUUAUGGAAUUUAAGCCUAAACAUUAAAUAACUAGGCUUGUAGUUGGAGACCUAGAAUUUGGAAUUUGAGGGGUCGUUUGUGGUUGGAUUUUGGUGCUUUUGAUAUGAAUGAAUUAGGGGAGUGAUAAUGAGUCUAUAGAUGUGAUUUUUAUCGGAUUCCGAGACAUGGACCAGGGGGUCGGGUUUGGUCAAUUUCGGGAUUUGUGUUGUAAUUUGAUUUCUUUCGAGUGAGCUUUGUUCCUUUAGCUUAUUUUGAUGGUUUUGCAAUGAUUUUGGUUAGAUUUGGAGCAAUCGGAGGCCGAUUCAAGAGGCAAUGACAUCGCGAGCUAGAGUUUGGACCGGAUAGAGGUGAGUAAUGAUUGUAAAUAUUGUCCUGAGGGUAUGAAACCCCGAAUUUUACAUUGUUGUGCUAUAUUAAGGUGAUGUACACACUAGAUAACGAACGUGGGGUCAUGCACCAUUGAGGAUUGUGACUUAGUCCAUCCCGAAUGACUGUUUUACUGUGUAUUUGAUUUAAGACUAUUUGCUAUCAUUAUGUUUUUGGCUGAGCUAUAUUUGGGCCUCGAGCCAACUGUUUUGGACUCUUAGGGGAUUUUUACCGCUAUUUCCUCAUUGUUUGAUUUAAUAUUUGUACUCACACAUGCUAUAUUAUAGUGUUUUCAUAACUCAGCCAUGUUUACUGUGUUUUAACACUUUAAAUGAUAUUUUGGGCUGCACAUCAUAUUUUUACUGUGCCUAGGUGGCUUGUGGAGAUUUCUGACCGAGUAAGGCCGAGGGCCUGUAUUGUGAGGAUUAUUAUAGGAUGGGGCUGCAUGGCGCAAUACUGUUGUACUAAUUAUGAUAAUGAGGCUGAGGGCCUGAAUUGUACUCCAUACGGUGGCUUGAUAUGAGACAGAGAGCCUAGUUGAUUACGCCACGAGAUGGCUUUAUAUUGCGCUUGGGCCGUAAGGGGCCCCUCCCAAAGUCUGUACACCCCUAAUGAGCGUAGAUACCCAGUGUGAUAUGUGAUAUUGCCCGAAGGGCUGAUUCUGUUGAUAUUGUGUCCAAGGGGAUAAUUUUAUGUGCUUUUCUGUUCUUGUUGUUUUAUCAUUUACUUGUUUAACUGGUAAAAGUGGUUUUCACUAGAAUAAGGUGCUUCCUUACAAGUUUCAUUAUUUUAUUGCACUGCAAGGAUAUUGUAAUGGCCCGGCUGGUCGUUGUGCCUAGUAGGAUCCUGUUUCCUUAAUAAGAACUUCCCGUACUUGCUUUAGCUAAUUUACGACCUGCGAGAAUAAUUGAGUUAGGGUUAUGAAGAGUUUUGAGUGGAAUGUGCCCAUAUGAUUUCUUAGGAUUUUCUCAAAAGACUAAAUUUGACUUUGGUCAAUAUUUUGACCAAACAGACCUGAAUUUGUGAUUUAAUGGUCUCGAAGGGUCUGUUAGAAAAUAUAGACCUGGAUGUAUGCCCGGAACCAAAUUCCGAAGUCCCUAGCCCGAGUAAUAAAUUUUUAUUAGAAACUAUUAAUUUGAAGUUUUAAGAAUUUAAAAAAACUAAGUAAUGAUUGAUUUUAUGGGUAUCGAACUCGUAUGUUGGUUCCGAAACGCGGUACAUGUCCAAACUAUUAUUUAAGAGUUGCCUGUAAAUUUGGUGUCAAUCCGAGUAGUUUUAGGGCGUUUUGGUCAGUUGGAGAAAAAUUAAGAACUUGAAGUUCAUAAGUUUGAUUUAUUUGGUUAUUGGGGUGAUUCCUAGAUUCAGUGUUGUUUCCGGUGUUCCGAGGGUUCGAGUAGGCCCGCCUCGUGAUUUCAAACUUGUCGAUAUGUGCCGGAGGGGCACGAGAGCCCCAAACGUCAAUCCGGCGAGGCUCGAGUAAAGUGAAAAAUUUGGAGAAGUGCUGAAGAUUUAUUACUUCUGUCAUAACCGCAUCUGCGGUCCUUGGAUUGCAGAUGCGGUCGUCCUAGCACAGAAGCGGCCCAGGGCAAACCUGGCCAGAACCGUAGAAGCGACUCUCCAGUCGCAAAAGCGGCUCCCUGGCCGCAGAAGUGGCUCGGCAGAUGCGGCCUAGAUACCGCAGAUGCGGUCCCAGCCCUUUGACCCAUUUUCACAGGUGCGGCCGCUUUUUCGCAGAUGUGGUCCCCUAACCGAAGAUGCGAAAAUAGCUGGACAAUGAGGUUCAUUUAAUACGAGCUCAAGACCAUUUUUAUCACAUAUACACUCUUCCAUCGGCGAUUUUAGGAGCUUUGGUGAGUUUAGAUUUAGCGUUAUUUCAGGUGUUUCGAAAGUUCGAGUAGUUCCGUCUCGUGAUUUUGGACUUGCCGGUAUGUUCGGACAGAGGCUGGGUGCCCCGAGCGUCAAUCGGAGGAUGCUCGAGUGAAGUGGAAAAUUUUGAGAAAGGCUAGAGAUUUGCUGCUUAUGUAUUAACCGCAUCUGCGGUUAUUGGACCGCAGGUGCGGGAUCGCAGAUGUUGCCAUUGGUCCGCUGAAGCGGCCCAGGGUAGGCUAGGCAAGGAACUGGAGAUACGGCUCCUCAUCCGUAGAAGCGGCUUCGCAUAUGUGGCCUGGAGACCAUAUGUACGGUCCUAGACUUCUCUCCCCACUUUUUCAGAUGCAGCCAUAUCCUCGUAAAUGCGGUCCCCUGACUGCAGAUGCGGAAAUCGCUAGGCAAUAAGAUUUAUUUAAUAUAGGUCCUAAGCCAUUUUAUCACACUUUUCACUCCUCCUUUGGGCAAUUUGGGAGCUUUUGAGAGAAGGUAUUCACUUAGUAUCUUCAGGUAAGUGUGUGCUACCUAUUUCAGGUUUAAUAUCAUUGCCUUAGGAAGAUUAAACACUAGUAUUAAGGUGAAAUUAUGGGUUAGAGCAAAAACCUAGGGUUUUAACAAAAAUUGGAUUUAAUCACGAAAUUUGUUAUAAAAUGAAUUAGAAAGUAUAUAUUAUUGAUCCUUAGGUUGUAGAUAACAACUUCCUUCGAAAAGUAUUUGAAUCCAAACACGUGGGCCUGGGGUCGAAUUAUAGGAAACUUGUAUUAGGAGUUGAGAAAUUGCUUAAAUAGUUAGAAUUCGAUAUUGUGAGUCUAUAUUGACUAGUUCCUACUUCAUUUAACUAGUUUGUUAUCGUUCGACUCCGAAUUGAGGGUUUGGGCUGGUUCUUGGCAUUGGAAGUAUACUUUGGAGCGACGUAAGUCUCCAAUCUUACCUUGAGGGAAAUGUCCCCAUAAGUAUAAUAAAUGAAAACUUGUCACUAAAUGCAGGGGCUAUGUAGGCACUAGGUGACGAGAGUCCGUGCAUAGUUACUAAUAUGUUAAUUGUCUGGGUAAUCUAGGACCCACAUCAUGCCAUAUUUGUGAAUAUCUCUAUAUUUUCUUGCUUGUGUGAUCUUCCAUGUAAGUUGAUGCUUGAUCCUUGAGACUUAUCUUCUUCACAUGCAACUCGCAUGUAUAGGUUUAUAAACACUGUGUGUCUCAUGAUGGACCUGGUCCAUGACUGCAUUCAUUUGUCAUUCUUCAAAACUUCACUUGAACUUGGACCAACAAAUUUCCCCGUUUUGAUGAUGAUAAACUUUGUGCUUUUACUAAUCAAAGAACCUGUAGGAACUCAGCUUAACCAUCAAUACUUUAACUUAGAAUUUUAACUUAUCAUUAAGCACCAGGUUUAAAUAGGUUUUAAAUACUACAUUAUUCAAAAUAAAUAGUAAAGUAUAAUAUCUCUUCCCUCUUUUGGCAUCAUCGAAAAGUUGCAUAUACAUUUGCAAUCCCAGAUUUAUAUAAUUACUCAUGGCCACUGGGCAACUUCAAGUAAAAACAUGGUUCAAUUAAUCAACAAUCAAUAAACAAAAUUAACUAUUUAGAUAAGAAUCUUCAUAGAAUAAGAGAAAAACCAUUUUCAUUGAUAAGGAUAUGUUUCCACCAAUAAACCACAAGAAGAAAGAAAAACUUCCAAACAUAAGCAACAAAAAAAGAAAAAGUCCAGAAUCUGGGUCAUUAGGGGGGUUCUAGAUGGGUGCAGAAGGUAAGAACUGGACAUCCUAAAGCUUUGACGAACUAGAGGGCUGGGUAUGGAGAGAUUGAGCAUAUUCUGAAGCAUUCCAUCACUCUUCUCCUUUUCCUUUGCUAGAUCAUCUCUAAGGCCAUCUCUCUCAAUUUCCAAUUCAGCAACACGAGCCUACAACCUAGCAAUUUCAGCAUCCUUAGUUCCACAUUCUUUAACUAAAGCCCUAACUUUGCUGUUCACAGGAGUCUUCAAAGAGGAACGAGGUUCAACUACGGUAGCAUUUACUGGAUAGUCACAAGGCAUAAGAGUCCUAACACCAUAGUGUUCCUUGCUUGAGGAUAUCUCCCAUUUAUUUAAAGGCACAUUCAGCCUUUCCAGAAUAGAAGUCAAUAAGAACCCAUAUGGAGUGGCACGAUCUUUGGAGCCAUUAAUGACCCUAUCCAGCAAUUUGACAAUGAAGGUAGACCAAUUUAUCUAUAUUCCUCUCACAUGGCACUCCAUCAGAACCAGGUCCAUGUACUUGGUAGUAUGCCUCCUUUCCUGUCUGGGCAACAGGCAUUCGUUAACAAAUUCAAACAGGACCUUGUGUUCAACCCUCAUCUCACUUUUUUGCACAAAUCUAGCUUCAGGGUCAUCUUCGUUACUUGCAGUAUCAUAAAGAUUUCUGGUAAUUUGGAGAGAUAGUAGGGAGAGAAUCCAGACAAGGCCACCUCUACCUAGUAUAAUCAUCAUAUCCCACACUGGGUAUGUCCAGGAUCUCACUCAAUUUGGGUGCAUCAAACUUCACCUUUACUCCUUUCACCAUGCUAGUGACAACUCUAUUCAUCACUGUGGCAUUGGCAAUAAAAUCAAUCAAUUCCUUUCUGGCCAGCUUUCCAUCCAUUUCAAGGAACAUGUCCUUCCACCGUUGUGCAGCUAGGGCAUCCACCAGUCUUAUUAUUCCUAGCUCAUCCAGGUCUUUCAACAAUCUUCCUUUCAAAUCUUUCUUCUGCCAAAGAUGGAAAACCUAUCUUGCUCCUUCUCAAAUUCGUCCCCUUUUUCUUCUCCACUCUAUUCUUAUUUUUCUUAAGUAAUCUUUGCUUGCUUUCUUUUUACUGCAGAUCUAGUUCUUCUGGCUAAAUAGGGUACAACAGAUACAGGCUCAGAUGAAGACUUCUUGGAAGAAGUCUUGGAACCUUUUGGUUUGGGUGUAGGAACAUUCAAAAUUGUUUCUCUUUCUUGAUGAACCAGUUACAUCUCCUCCUCCUCUUCUUCUGCAGCCUUAGAACUUUCCACAACCUUUGCUUUUCCCUUGUCCUUCUUCUUUUUCUUACUUUCUUCUAGAGCUUUUUGUAAUUCUACUUCACUUUGUUUGACCCUUCUUUUAGUAGCUCUUUCCUUUGGUAAUAAAGGGACAAUAGGCUUUGGAGAUGACACUUUGCUUUUCUUUGUUGACUUAGAAGCAGUUGGAGUCAUUUGUGUGGAAGCCUUGUGUUUCUUUAGAUCAUAACUGGGUCCACCUCUUUUCAGAAUUUCAGCUAAAGUUUCCUCAAUAGAUGAACCAGGUUUAUCUUGUUGUUAGCUCAGAUGAACAAGCCCUUCAGCAGCCUCCCCAGAGCCACUUCCCCUUGACUUGUUGCCACUCUCUUCAACUCCUCCACAGAUAGCAAGAACUUUUUCUUUAUUUUUACCUCUCCUCCUACUUGACUCAGCCCACUUUACAUCUUUUACAAAACAAACCAAAACAAACCUAUUUUCUUUAUUUUCAACUAUAUCAUAAAAUGCCAAACAAGUAUUUACCUCACCAGAGGUUUCUUGAUUUUUGUCAGUGUUAGAAGACCCAUGUUCUUCACCUUCACUAGCAAAAAUAAAAGCUUCUGAUUCAAAGCUGGAGUUAAAUUCUCGAACAGGACUUUCCUUCUUUUGGCUAGCCUGUAAUUUCUCAUUUAUGGCUUUUCUUAGAGACCCGGAAGCCACAGUUUUCUUAGCAAACAUUUCCUGUCUAUGAAAUCUAGGUUUUUGGGAAACACUAGGAUGAUUAGAUGAAGACGCAUUAGAAGGGUAUACUGGUGGGGGAAUGCUUGGAUUAUCUUUCGUCAUGGUCAAUCAUUUUUGGAGAGGAUUUGGAAAUUUUGGAGAGAAAAGAGAUGAUCAGAAGUAGAGAGGGGUUUUUGACGGCUAUGAAAUAAUAAGAAAGGGUGUGGUGAGUAUUCAGAGGUGAUUAGAAUUAAUUGAGGUAAAGGCAGGUUUUACAGGAGUCAAUCAGGAGUCUAAUCAAAGUAAAAUUUUGGUCUCUUUAGUGAUUAUUUGGCAUCACUAUAUGUUAGGCCAGAAUCUCAAUUUUAGAGUUUUAGGAGAACGAAACAGGUUGAAUACUCAGCGGAAAUUUUUUUUGGGAGUUUGAUUAAAGUGGGACUUCUGCUCAUGAUUGGAAAAUUAAUCUUUCUAAUUGUGCAAAGUAUAGAAAACAUAUCGGAACUUUCUCAUGAGCAUAUACUGGUGAACCAGGUUCUUCAAGUAUAACUCUCUUGAACAUGCCUUAAAUGUCAUAAUAGAAAAAUGUUUGUAUGAGAUCAUUGAGUCAUAUAUACAUGUCACAGGAGUAUACUAAUUAAAGUAUGAGACUGAGUAAGAAUUGAUCUAGAUAUUUACACAAAGUUAGAAGUCCUAACCCAAAAAAAAAAAUUCAUGCUUUUUUCAUUUUUAUUUUUUACGCUUUAUUUUUUUUUCUUUGUGCAUUCUGAAUUGGACCUUUCAGGUGAUUUUAAUCAUCCCUAAUUCCAACCCGUUCCUCUCAAAGUUUUCUCUACCCAGUGCUUUAGUGAAGAUGUCAGCUAUUUGUUUAUCAGUAGCACAAAAUUCUAUUGAAAUCAAUCCUUUCUUUUAGUUAUCUCUUAAGAAGUGGUGUCUAACAUCUAUGUGGUUGGUCCUUUUACGAUGAACAAGGUUUUCUGUCAUACUUAUAGCACUAGUAUUAUCACAGAAUAUUGGAGUACAUCCCACUUCAAUUCCAAAAUCUACCAGUUGUUGUUUAAUCUAGAGCAAUUGAGCACAACAAGAAGCAUCAACAACAUACUCAAGUUCAACAAUAGAUGAGGCUACUAAAUUUUUCUUUUUGGUAGCCCAUGACAUAAGAUAUGAACAACGAAAGUGUGCCAUACCUGAGGUGCUCUUUCUUACUACUAGGAAACUUGUAUAAUCAUCAUCAACAUAUCCUACUAGAUUGAUAUUACUACCUUUGGGAUACCAAAGACACAGAUCAGUGGUAGAUUUUAGACAUCUUAGUAUUCUCUUUUGGAUUUUCCUGAAAAAUAGCACAAAGUCCUACACUAAAAACAAUGUCAGGUCUGCUGGUGGUAAGAUACAAAAGUGAACAUAUCAUACCCCUAUGCAAUUUUUGAUCAACUGAUGAACCAGGUUCAUCAACAUCUAAUUGAGUGGCAGUUGCAAUAGGUGCGUCUAUUUCUUUAGAAUCUUUCAUUUUAAACUUUUUGGUUAAUUUUUUUGUAUACUUAUGCUGAUGGAUCAUGGUUACAUUUGGACUUUGUUUGAUCUGCAAGUCUAAGAAGAAAUAAAGCUCACCCAUCAUGCUCAUUUCAAAUUCACUCCCCGUUAGUUUUGCAAACUCCUUACUCAACUUAUGAGUAGUGGCCCCAAAUAUAAUGUUAUCAACGUAUAUUUGCACAACAAGAAGGUCAACCUUUUUCACUUAAGAACAAGGCGUUGUCAAUUUUACCUCUUUUGUAACCAUGUUCUAGUAGGAAUUUAGAUAGCCGUUCAUACUAAGCUCUUGGGGCCUUCUUGAGCCCAUAUAGAGCCUUGUUUAAUUUAUACACAUGCUCAACAUAUUCCCUGCUUUAAAACCCUAGGGGUUGUUUUACAAAUACUUCUUCCUUUAGGUAGCCAUUCAAGAAGGCACUUUUGACAUCCAUCUGAUGGAAAUUAAAUUCCAUAUGUGAUGCAAAGGCUAUGAAGAGUCUGAUUGGAUCUAGUCUUACAACUAGAGCAGAUGUUUUAUCGUAGUCAAUGCCCUCAUCUUGGCUAUAUCCUUGAAAACCCAGCCAUGCCUUGUUUCUCAUAAUUGUUCCAUCUUCAUCAAGUUUGUUCCUAAGACCUGUUUUAUGCCAAUGACUGAUCUGUCCUUGGGUCUUGGAACAAGAUGUCAAACUUUACUUCUUUCAAAUUGGUUGAGUUCAUCCUGCAUUGCAUUCACCCAAUCUGCAUCCUGCAAAGCUUCAACAACAUUUUUAGGUUCAAUAAUAAAUAGGAAAGCAUCAAAAGCACAUAGAUUCUUCAGUUGUGAUGUAGUUUUGAUUUCUGAUGUUAGAUUAGUGAUAAUAUUCUCAAUAGGAUGAGAAAUUUGAUACUUGUGAGGUUUCACAACCAACUGGUUUCUGCUAGAUAUUUCUCCCAUGUGCUGUUACUAAGGAACAAGUUCCUUUUGGAGGUUUGAUGCAAUUUCUUGUUGAUAAGUUCCCCAUGUUAGGUUACCCUUAUUAAAGGACCUAUUCCAUUACCUGUUCCUUUUUUUAUUCCACUUUGCAUUGUGCGGGGGAUUCGGUAUCUUUACCAGUCCAAUGGCUUCAUCUUCAUGUUCCUGUCUCUCAGAAAGAAUUUUAGUUUCAUCAAAUACAACAUGUAUACUCUCUUCUACACAAAGAGCCCUUUUAUUACACACUUUAUAUGCUCUUUUAUGGGAAGAAUACUCCCUCAUCACUUCUAGGAUCAAACUUACCAAUGGUGUCCUUUCCAUUAUUGUGCACAUAGCACUUGCAACCAAAUGUCCUAAGAUGAGAUAUGUUUGAUUUUCUCCCUUUAAGUAACUCAUGGGGAGUUUUUUUAACCAAAGGUCUCAUUAUACAUCUAUUGAGUAUGUAAUAUGCAAUGUUUAUUGCCUUUGCCCAAAAGCUGUAAGGCAAUUUACUAGAAAGCAACAUGGUUCUGGCCAUUUCCUCAAGAGUCUUAUUCUCCUUUCAAGUACUCUAUUUUUUUAGGAGUCCUAGGGGCAGAGAAAUUAUGAUAUGUACCAUUUUCAUCACAGAUCUCUUCAAACUUAGAAUUUUCAAAUUCAGUUCCAUGUUCAAACCUAAUGGAUGCUAGUUGAUUUCCUAACUAUUUCUAAGUUUUUUCUAACAAAUGUAAUAAACAUGUCAAAUGCUUCAUCUUUGGAAGUUAGAAAUAGAACCCAGGUAAAUCUAGAGUAACCAUCAACAAGAACCAUUACAUAUUUCUUUCCACCUCUGUUUAUGGUUCUCCUUGGAAUAUAUAGAUCCAUACGGAUUAGUUCCAACGACUUAGUUGUACUUACCAUUUUCUUGCUUUUGAAGGAUGAUCUUACCUACUUCCCUCUUGCACAUGCCUCACAAACUUUGUCUUUCUUCAACUUGAUAUUAGGUAAUCUUGUUACCAAAUCCUUAUAUACUAAUUUGUUUAGGUUAUGUAGACUUGCAUGACCAAGUCUUUUGUGCCAUAGGAUGAGAUUAUUAUCCAGCACACUUAGAUAAGUUAGUUCAUUUUCUAAGAGAGCGGAGAAAUUUACAAUGUAAAUAUUGUUAACUCUGUUUUCCUGCAAAACAAUCUUGUUAGUGGUAAGGUUAAUAACAAAACAUUUGGAGGAGGUAAAAGCCACAAGGUUUCCUGUCACACAAUUGUGACACAGUGAUCACGCUAUAUUUCAAGCCAUCUAUUAAUUAGACAUUCUGAAUGGAGUGAAAGAAUGUAUUACCUACCUUUCCAUUCCUAAUAAACUCACCUUUCUUCCCAUUCCCAAAGGAGACAUUGCCUCUUUUUAAGUCCUCAAGUGAAAGGAACUGUUCCUUGCUCCCAGUCAUAUGUUUUGAGCAACCACUAUCCAUAUACCAUAUUUGGCUACUUCCUUUCACUUGGACCUGCAAAAAGAAAUCAGGGGUUAGUCUUAGGAACCCAAACUAGUUUGGGUCCCUAUGUUUUGAGCAACCACUAUCCAUAUACCAUAUUUGGCUACUUCCUUUCACUUGGACCUGCAAAAAGAAAUCAGGGGUUAUUCUUAGAAUACAAACAAGUUUGGGCCCCUUUCUAUAGGCAAAAGGAUGAAUCAGAUUCCCUUUUUCCCACCCAGGCAGCUUACUUUUCUCUUGAAUAAAAGCUUUGUUCUUUUGACUGGCCUUUUCUUUAGCAUUACACUCACUAUUGUUAUGGUCAGUUUUGCUACAAUGUGUGCAGAUUUUAUUUUUAGGAAAUGUGAGGUACUUUCUUUUAGGGUCCCACUUUGGUCUUUGAGUCUCAAAUACAACUCCUCUUUUGUUGCUACUAUGAUGCUUUUGCAGCUAAGAGAGUGCAUCAGAAGCGGAUUUCCACUUGCAAGUUCUAUCUACUUCAUGUUUCACCUUUCCUAGAUCUUCCUUUAGGACUUUGAUGAAUUCAUCUUUCUAGUACAAUUCAUCUUUAAUUUUCCCCAAAUUUUCUUCUAGAGUGAGAUGUGUGUGAUGAGCUUUCUUCUUUCGUGUUCCUACUUUCUGGUUUAAGCUUUCAGAUCUAAGUUCUAGGACACUAUUAUCAAGCUCAAGAACCUAGUUCUAGCAUUUGUAUUAUCACUCUCAUUAGUCUUAGACUCUAGACUCUUGCAUUUUGCUUUUAGGAUCACACAUCGUAGGCAGAACUUCCUUCCCAUUGUUAAUUAUCUCAGACUCAUCAAUGAAGUCUAGUAAUAGCUCAUCCAACCUUUCUUUAGAAAAACAUUUAAUCUUGUCUUUGAGAUGAAGAGUACUUACCUCUUGUUCAUCAUCUGAUUCUACAAUAGCCAUCAGUGCUUGCUCUUCAUUAGCUUAAUCUUUGAGUCUUCAUCUGAGGUUUCUCCCCACGCAACAACCAUAACCUUGUUAAACAUUUGUUCCUUUUUGGUUGAACCUCUUCCUUCUUCCUGCUCCUUCUUUCAGCCCUCUCUUUCUUCCACUCAAUUUCCCAUUGAGGGAAGUUCUUGAUCGUGUGAUCAGUUUUACCACACUUGAAGAAACCCUCAUUGGUCUAGUUCUCAAGAGCUCUUGGCUUGUUGAAGAUGUACUUAUUGAAUAACCCUUUCCUCCCAUUAGGUAACUUUUGAAUCUCGAGUGGUUAUAGUCAUCUCAUCAUCUUCCAAAUCUGAACCUUCAGCAAUUCUGAGAGCUAAGCUUCUCUCCUUCUUGGGUGUAUCCAUCUUCAUGGUUUGCCUUCUCAUUUCAUAAUAAGUAAGAUUUUCAAUCAGUUCAUCUAAUCUGAGAGUAGCAAUAUUCUUGGAUUCAUGAAUGGCAGUGAUUUUGUUUUCCUAUGUGACUGGUAGAACCCUUUUCAGAAUUUUCUCAACUUUAUCUUCUUCCAGAGUGACCCUUCCAAGAGACUUGAGUUCAUUUGUCAAUGUAGUGAACCUAGUAUACAUCUCUUGGAUAGUUUCUCCUUCUUUCAUAGUAAAUUUAUCAUAUUGAGAAUACAAUAGUGUUUCUUUUGAUCUUUUCACUUGAGGUGUUUCUUCGUGGGUCAUUUGCAAAGUGUCCCAUAUCUCCUUAGCAGUAGUACAACUUUGGAUCCUAAUGUACUCAUCUGGACUUAGUCCACGCACAAGCCAUUUCUUGGCCUUAGCAGUUUUCUCCCACUUUUUUAGGUCUUCAGCAGUGUAGUCAACUCUUGUCUUUAGUACUUCCACUCCUUCCUCAUUAUUCUUUGUAGUUUCCAAGGGGCCAUCAGUGACUAUGUCCCAGAGUUCAUAGUAAUCUCCAAUGAUAUGAUCUCUCAUCCUGUUUUUCCACCAAGAAUAGUAUUGUCCAUUAAAAAUUGAAGGUCUGGCAGUAGAUUGUCCUUCCUAGUUUCCAGGUGGUGCACUCAUGUUGAUCUUUUCCUAAGGUGUUAGCCUCUUCAAGGAUAACCUGUUAUGAUACCAAUUGAAGUUCUUAACGUCAAUACCACACAAGAGGUAGAGUGAUUUAUGUUGUACCCAAUUUUUCAAUCUAGAAGAACCUGGUCCUUUUAGGUGUUCUAACUACUAUUAUUGCGGAUUUAAAAGUACAGAAAAUAAAGAACACAGAGAUUUUUACGUAGAAAACACCUGGCUAAAAAGGUGAAAAAACCACGACCUACUACUCAGUAGGAUUUUCCCAAAAAUCCACAAAAAUCACUAAUCCAAAACAGCAUUUACAAAAACUCUUUGUAAUCCUAAGGAUUAACACUAAUCCCAGUCUGGCACAUAGCUUCAACUGUGAUGACACUUUCAAGUCAACUCUAACUUGAAUACUCAAAGUACCUAAUACAACUGCUUCUAUGAAAGCUAGAAAGGUACAACUUUAAACCACCUACAGCAAUUGAUCUACAAUAAGAAUAAACACAAUGGAGUUGGUUCUUCUAUCUCGUCCAAGUAGCUUCAGGAAUGCACACUCAAAUCUCACAUAAAUUGCUUGCAAAAUUGCCUCACCUUUUUUCUCUCAAUUUAGUUUCACUUCUGCAUUUGUGCAAUACCUAUAAAGAGAAAACUCACAGUGAUUUAUUGAGUUAGUAAUUAGAGUUUGAUUGAGACUCAAUUGCUGAUAUUCCAUCAAAGUUAAGUCCUUGAACAAUACAAAUUCCAAACUUAUCCUUUAUCCGGAUUGUGUUCUCUUCCUAGAAGGAGACCUCCUCUCCUCAUUCAAUAUGCAACUUUUUCGAUCAGUUUAGAAGAUAUUGAUGCUUGAUCCUUGAGACUCAUCUUCUUCACGUGCAACUCACAUAUAUAGGUUGAUAAACAUUGUGUCUCUCAUGAUGGACCUAGUCCAUGACUGCAUUCAUUUGUCAUUCUUCAAAACUUCACUUGAACUUGGGCCAACACAUUAUAUCAGAUAGAGGCCCUCGGUUCACUUCCCAUUUCGGGAGAGCUGGUCAGAGUGAGUUAGGGACUCAUGUAGAGCUCAGCACAACGUUCAAUUCUUAGACCGACAGACAGUCGGAGUGGACAAUUCAGAUUUUAGAGGAUAUUAUUUGGGCAUGUGUAAUUGACUUUGGAGGGCAGUAGGAUCAGUUCUUGCCUUUAGUAGAGUUUACAUAUAAUAACAGCUACCAGUCUAGCAUAGAGAUGGCUGUAUUCGAGGCGUUAUGUGGCCGACGUUGUCGUUCUCUUAUCGGGUUGUUUCAGCCCAGUAAGGCUAAUUUAUACGGUACAAAUUUUGUAUAGGAUGCCUUGGAUAAGAAAAAGUUGAUUCAAGAAAGGCGUCACAUAGAUCAAUCAAGAUAGAAGAGUUAUACAGAUCAGAAGGCGCAUGAUGUAUCAUUUAAGGUUAGCAAGAAGGUUCUCUUGAAAGUCUCACCAAUGAAGGUCAAUAUGAGGUUCGGGAAGAAGGCUAAGUUUAGCCCAAGGUUUAUUAGUCCAUUUGAGGUGUUGAGGCGAUUUGGGUAGGUUGCCUAUGAGCUUGCUUUAUCCCCAAGUUUAUCGGGAGUUCAUCCAUUUUUUCAUGUAUCGAUGCUUUGGAAGUAUCAUGUCGAUUUAUCCCAUAUGUUGGACAUUAGUACUAUUAAUAUGGAUGAGAUUUUGGUUGAUAAGGAGGAGCCAAUUGCCAUUAUUGAUAGACAUGAUCAUCAGUUGAGGUCCAAGAGGAUUUCUAAGGUGAGGGUCAAGUGGAGGGGCCAACAAGUCGAGGAGGCAACCUGGGAGGCUGAGGAGGACAUGCAGAGAAGAUAUCCCCAUUUAUUCAGCAGUUUAGGUACUUUUAUAUAUCCGUUCGAGGAUGAACAUUUGUUUAAGAGGUGGAGAAUGUAAUGACCCGAUUGGUCGUUUUGCCUUGUAGAAUGCGUUCCCUUUACUUGAUUUAGCUAAUUCGCGACCUCCGGGAAUAGUUGGUUUGGGGUUUAGAAGAGCUUUGAGUGAAAUGUGUCCAUCUGAUUCAUUAGGAUUUUCCCAAUAGUCUAAGUUUGACUUUUGUCAACAUAUUGAUCAAAUGGACCCGGAUUCGUGAUUUGAUGGGCCCAUAGGAUCCGUGGAAAAAUUGAGACAUGGGCGUAUGCCUGAAAUCCAAUUUUGAGGUCCCUAACCCGAGUAAUAAAUUUUUAUUAGAAAUUGUUAAUUUGAUUUUUUAAGAAUUUAAAGAAACUAAGUAAUUAUUGAUUUCAUGGGUAUAAGGCUCGUAUGUUGGUUUGGAAGCCCGGUAUAGGUCUGAAAUAUCAUUUAUGACUUUCUUGUAAAACUUGGUGUCAAUCCGAGUAGUUUUGGAGAAUUUUAGCUCGUUAGGGGAAAAUAAAAAACUUGAAGUUCAUAAGUUUGAUUCAUUUGGUUUUAGUGGGAUGAUUUCUAGAUUUAGCGUUGUUUCAGGUGUUCCGAAGGGUCGAAUAGCUCCGUCGCGUAAUUUUAGACUUGCCGGUAUGUUCGGGCAGGGCCCGAGAGCCCCGUGCGUCAAUCGGACGAGGCUCGAGCGAAGUAUAAAAAUUUGACAAAGGCCAAAGAUUUGCUUCCUCCAUCAUCACCGCAUCUACGGUUAUUGGACACAUAUAUAGUCCUCUCAUGGCAGAAGCGGGCCAGGCCAGGAACCAUAGAUGCGGCUCCCUAGCCGCAGAUGCGGACUGGAGACCGCAGAUGUGGUCCCAUCUUUCUCUCCCCACUUUCGUAGAUGCGACCAUAUCCUCGCAGAUGUGGGACCGCAGAUGCGGUCCCUUAGCCGCAGAUGCAAAAAUUACCGGGCAGUAAGGUUCAUUUAAUACAGGUUCUAUGCCAUUUUAUUACAUUUUUCUCUCUUCCUUUGGGCGAUUAGGGAGCUUUUGAGAGAAGGUCUUCACUUAGCAUCUUGAGGUAAGUGUGUGCUAUCUUUUUCUAGUUUAAUAUCAUUGUCUUAGGAAUAUUAAACACUAGUAUUAAGGUGAAAUCAUAGGGUUAGAGCAAAAACCUAGGUUUUUAACAAAAUUUUGAUUUAACCACGAAAUAUGUUAUCAAAUAAAUUAGAAACCAUAUAUUAUUGAUCCGUAAGUUAUAGAGAACAACUUCCUUCGAAAAAUUUUGGAAUCCGGUCACAUGGGCCACGGUUGGAUUUUAGGAAACUUGUGUUAGGAGUUGAGAAAACGCCUAAAUAGUUAGAAUUCGAUUUUGUGAGUCUAUAUUAACUAUUCCUACUUAUUUUAACUAGUUUGGGAUCUUUCGGCUCCGAAUUGAGGGUUUUGGCUCGUUCUUGGAAUUGGAAGUAUUUGGAGCGAGGUAAGUCUCCAUUCUUUCCUUGUAUGAGGGAAAUGCCCCCAUAGGUAUAAUAAUUGAAAAUUGUCACUAAAUACGUGACGAGGUGACGAGAGUCCGUGCGUAGCUACUAUUAUGUUAAUUGUCAGGGUAGUCUACGACCCACAUCAUGCCAUAUUUGUGAAUAUCUCUAUAUUUUCUUGCUCGUGUGAUCACUAUGGAUAUGCUAGAGACUUCAAAAACGAAUAAGAGCGAACAUGUAUACUCGUGGAACCCUUGAAUGAAUUUAUUUGAAUGUAAAUGCGCCUUCGUGUGUAUUCUUGACAUAUCUUGUUAUUUGUGGAUCCGACCGAUCACCUCGGUAUAAAUAGAUGCAUCUAUGGUUCAAGCCGUUCGACCCUCGACAAUGCACAAUUUAUUUUAUGUUGGAUCGGGCUGUCGAGCUCAGCAUAAUGUGCGCAUGAUAUUUGUGUGGAGACUUAUACUUGAUUUUUUUUUUGCUAAUAUUUCAAAAUGUAAAUAGCUAACUGAAAUAUUGUCAAGAACAUGGAUUUUAUCUCUCGUCAUAAACUGUUGAAUUUUGGUGACGUUGUGCGUAGCGCUUCAUUAUAUUAUUUGGUCCUAGUAAGUAUCAAAUCGACCUUCCGUCUCUACUUCUUCGAGAUUAGACGAGAUACUUACUGGGUACAUAUUAUUUAUCUACUCAUACUACACUUCAGUACUUAAUUUUACAAGAUCUGAGGCUGGUACAUCUUGCUAUCAGUCUGGUGCGCGCCCCUGACUUAUCGAUCGAGACUUCCACAGUGAGUUGCUCGCUCCUUAUGUCGUUCAGCAACCAGAUGGAGUCUUUGCUUAUCUUUGCUGUCUAUUUUAUCUCAGACAGUAGAACAGAGUUAUUCUUUUAUUCAUUCUACUAGUUUUUCAUUACUUGUGACACCAUCUCUUGACACUUACAUUAGUAUACAUUUAUUUUUGGGGUUGUAUAAUCACUUGAUACAUUAUUGAUCGUUUCUGGACUUAACUUUAAAUUUGAGAAUCUAUUACCCUUAUUUUUGGUAAAAAUAAAAUGAGAAUUUAAAUUAAUCUUUUCGCACUAGCUUCCCUGAUGAUGGUGUCGGACGCCAUCAUGACCUAUUGUUGAAAUGGGUCGUGAUAAAUUUUAUACUGCCUAUGUGUAGCAUCUUGUUGUAUUUUUACGUGUUUUUUUAUCACUCAGUCUUCGUUUAUUGUUAUUACUCACUGAGUUGACGUACUCACUUUACUCUGUGCACCAUGUGUGCAGAUUCAGAAGCUUCGGGCCCUGCUAGCGAGGGUUGAUUAUUUUUAGCAAACUUUGUGGAGUUCACUAGGUAGCUACUUUGUUCGCAACCCAGUAUUUCUCCCUUCUAUCUUAUUUUCUGUUUCUAGUUCUAUAGUAGACUACAUAAACUCUAUUAGACUCUUACACUCAUGUUUAGAUGCUCAUGACCGGUGAUAUCCUAAUGUCUGGCUGUGUUUGUUUCCACCGUUGAUAUAUUUCGCUCUAUUUUGGAAUUUAUCCUUAUUAAUAACUUGAUUAUGAAUCAUUAUAUUUGUUAAUUGAAUUCGAAAUUUGAAUCGGUUGACCUUGUUUUCAUGAGAGGCGCCUUCAUGAUCGGGUCUGUAUUUAGGAUCGUGACAAAAUUGAUGCUUCACGUUGAGGUCACUUUGGAUUAAACUUCGGAUGCCAAUUCUUGAUUUUCAAAAUAUAUUUUUACACCAACAUAAAACUUAAACACAAUCUGAGAAUUCUUCAUCGGCUUUAAACUCUGUCGCUUAUAUAUGCCAAAGAGUGUUUUCUAAAUAUUCUCUAAUUAAACAAACGAAAUAAGAAAUUCAAAAGAAUUAAGUUUUUCAUUGUUAAAUACAGAUCUGGAGAUAUUUACAAUUGGAGAUGAUAAUAAAAAAACCGCAUUCAGUGAAAUAGAGCAUGCUUGUGGGCGUUUGCACAUAAGAAUUGCAAAAAUUUUUAAAAAAUUAAAUAAAAAUGAUAUUUGAAAAUUAGAAUUGUGCUUGGACAUGAAUACAAUUUUGGAUUGUUUUGAAGUUUUGUGAGUAAUCUAAUUGAAAAUUUUGGAAAGUAGAUUUUAAAAGUUUUAAAAUUUUUGAAAAAUUCCAAAAGUCAUUUUCAAGUAAAAAUUAAAAGUUAAUGACCAAACAAUAUUUUAAAAAAAAUAAAAAAAAAAUUAAAAAAAAAGGAACAAAUUCUUAUGUCAAAGCAAGCUCUUAAAUACUAACAAAAUGCAUGGUUCAAAUGUUGGAUGAAGAGCUAUCGGUAUAUGGCAAUUGUAAGCUAAGAUUCCUUAUACUCUUGUAAAUCUCCUCUCCAAGCAAAACACCCUUACCUAGUCUUUUUGUUUUCUUGUCGUGAUUCAAUUUAGGAUUGUAAUCGGUGUUAGGAGUAAGUACUUCUAAAUAAGCUUUAUGGAUAAUUCUAUAAAAAAUCAAACAGAGUUUUCUUUAUUUUUGGACCAUCCUAAAAGUUAUUUUGUCUUAAAUCAACAACCAAACAUCCUAAUAUCAUAUCAAAUAAUUUACAAUUUAUCAAUUAAUCAAUACAAGUCUCUACCAUAAUUAAACCACAACUAACCACUAAAAGCACUAAUUUAUCUCACGCUUUGAUAAAUGAGAACGAUACCCAACACAAGACUAAAGAAUACGUAUGACACUAAAAACAAUGACUAUGGAGCGACUAUAAGAGUUCAAUGAAAAGGCCAUAACAAUAAGUAAAAUCUCUGUCCAUGCGAACAAGUGCGAGGCUUACCGAGAAAUAUCAACAUGUGCGCUCUAAUAAAUGAAAUCCUUGCAUGCGCCAACUGCUGUCUCUGUAAAAAAAAUUAGCAGAGAAUGAGUCGCUAGCUCAGUGAGUAAUAACAUUUAACUACAAAUGUUUUUAUAUUGGGACAAGUCAGAAACAUACUCGUAUCUCAAAGAGAAUAAUAUAAAAAUGUCAUUUCAGAAACAAUAAAUAAUUUUCAGUCUCACCACACUUUUCUUGUAGUAAAAUAUAAUUAACAUUUCAGUAAUAAGCUCGGUAACCAUAGUAUAUUAUCAUUAUUCACAUUUUGGGAGGUUUCAAUGAACGGAUCACGUAAUCGGUAUAAUUGUGGACUUGUUUGCAUGUAGUCAAAUAUAACGGUAGUCCCUACUUGAGAGAAAUCGGUAACGGUAUGGUAGUUCUACCUUUCCACUAGCGAGGGCUACAACGGUAAUCGGUAAUUACAAGGUGAAUCAGGUCUAACGAACUCGCCGUUAGCUACGGUAUCCUUCAAUGCCUACUCCCAUUUAUACUUGUCUAUGUAAUCUGUAUAUGCUCAUAGAAACUAUCUUAAAACAAUAUUGGGCAUUUCAAUUCUUAUCAAAUCAUAUAAUUUCCUUUGAUAACAGUAAAUUCAAGUAACGGUCAAACAGAUCUAGCUUUAACAAAAAUAUUGAAAACCACGGUAUUCAUCUCAAAUAACUAUUUCGGUAUCAUACCGAGUAAAAGACUUGUCCCAUAUGCAAAUCAAAAUAAUCAGAAACAUAUUCAUAUUAAAAAUCAUGUGUAAAUCAUGCAAGUUAUGAAAACAUAAAUUACCGUAAGAUUACUACUCACAGUACUCGUGCCGAAAUACCAACUGCUUCACCUCAAGCAACUCGUACAAAUUCCUCCAAUCAAUCUAUGAUUACAUAAUAUCAUCUCAUGUUACUUUUGUUUUUUAGGCUAAUUCAUAACUAUUUUAGAAUACUCCAAUCCUCCAUGUUUUAUACUUUACCAUCAAUUCGCUGAAUUAUAUUUACCCAUGCUAUGAGUAAUUUAAAUUAGUCCAAAAUCUUAUAAGUAAAAAUAUAUUUAUAAGAUUUAAUCCCUUUACUGUUCAAUUUCAUUAAUUCUGUGCAUAAAUUGAAACUGAAAUAACUUUACUGUCCAUAAUAUCCCUUCUUAAUUAGUACCUUUCUUGUGUACUUAAUACUAGAUUCAUAACAUUCAAGUCCAAAUUCACUAUGGUUAUUACAAUACAGUUAAACACCAAAACUCAAUCCUUGUACCCUAACUUAAUUUACACCUAACAAAAAUCACAUAUAAUAAGACUAGUUUAAGUACAAAUACAUCAAUACCCUUCUUCUUCUAAGUGAAUUUAUCCUAUAAUAACAUUGACCAACUUUUAAUUGCAUAAUUUGUCUAGAAUAACUCUAAUUGAUUUUAAAUUUCUUAUAUAUUGUAUAACCUUUCAAAUAUAUGAAUUGAGAUAAAAGAAUUACUAGGAGAAAAGAACUUAGAUGAGAAAUUCGAAUAUUACUCGUAAGAACCAAUGUGUAUUUAAAUUUUUUCAAAAUUUCGUUCUAGCCUCUUUCUUCUUCUCCCUUUCUUUCCUUCUUUUUUUUUUCUUGUUUUGUUUCUGAAGCUUCUGCUUCAUUGGAAUUGGCAACCCUUUAUUUUCUUUUAGCAAAUGGGCUAUGGCCCUUUUGCCUUACUUAUCCUUUUUUUUAAAAGUUAUUUUUUUUUUUUUAUUAUUAUUAUUAUUAUUAUUAUUAUUAUUAUUAUCAAAAAUAUACUCUUAUUUAAAAAUAUAGAUUAUUAUAUCCUCCCCACCUUAUGAAAUUCGGUCCUCGAAUUUAACUCAAGUACGUACCUACCUGUAGACUGAAAUAAAUAGGGGUACCUGACUCGCAUAGUGUCUUCUAUUUCCCAAGUAGCUUCUUCAAUCGUAUGAUUUUUCAUAAGACUUUCACGAACACGAAUUCUUUUGACCGUAGUUUUCUUAUUUGUCUAUCAAUAAUAGCUAUUGGCUCCUCUUAGUAAGACAACUUCUCAUCGAGUUGUAUAGUCAGUGCUUCAAUCACAUGAGAUGAGUCUGGAUUAAUAAAUGAUAACUCAGGAGGAAGUUCCAAACGAUAAUCCACCGCUCUCACUCGGUCUAAUAUCUCAUAUAGUCCUAUGAACAUUGGGCUCAACUUGCCUUUUUUCCCAAACCGUAUCACACUUUUCAUAGGGGAGACUCGUAGGAACACUUUCACCCCAAUUGUGAACACUAAAUAUCUUCUUCUCUUAUAAGUAUAAGACUUUUGUCUACUUUGAGCUGCAAGCAAUCUUUGUCUGAUCAACUGGACCAUGUCCAUAGCUUCUUGUACUAGGUUGUGUUCCAAUAAGUUAGUCUCACCAUCUUCAAAUCAUCUGAUAGGAGAAUGACAUCUUCUACCAUACAAUGCUUCAUAGGUGCCAUUUGAAUAUUGUUCUGGAAGCUAUUGUUGUAAGCAAAUUCAGCUAUCGAUAGAUAAGUGUCCCAACUACCUCCAAACUCAAGAAUACAAGCUCUCAAUAUAUCCUCCAAGACCUAUAUAGUACGUUCAGACUGCCCGCCUGUAUGUGGAUGAAAUAUGGUACUAAGAUCUACUCGUAUACCCAAUACUUCUUGAAAAGAUUUACAAAAGUGUGAAGUGAACUGUGAUCCUCUAUGAGAUAUGGUGGAUAUUGGAACUCCGUGAAGUCGGACAAUUUUAUUCAUAAAUAUGUGUGCAUACCUAACUCCACCAUAUGUAGUCUUCCCUGGCAAAAAAUAUGCUGAUUUCGUCAGUCGAUCUACAAUCACCCAUACCGAGUCAUAACCUCUAAGGGUUCGUGGUAUCCCGGUGACAUAAUCAAUAGUAACUAUUUCCUAUUUCCGUUAUGAAAUCUCAAUUUGUUGUAGUAGUCCUGCGGGUCGCUGAUGCUCAGCCUUGACCUACUGAUAAGUCAAAUAACUAGAAACAAAGUUAACAACAUCGUUCUUCAUACCUUCCCACCAAUAAAAUUUCUUCAUGUCAUGGUACAUAUUUGUGGAUCCAGGAUGUAUAGUAUAUUUAGAGUUGUGAUCUUCUUUAAGAAUAGCAUGUCUCAACCCAUCUACGUCUGCUACACAUAGUUUGUCACCUAUUCAAAGAACACCAUCACUUUCAACAAUCAUAUCCUUGCUUUUACCAGCUAAGGCCUCAUAUCUGUAUUUGCAUAAUCAGUCAUCCUCCUAUUGGAUGGCCUUAAUAAGCUCAACAAAUGAAGACUUAGCCUGAGCACAAGCCAACAAUGCCUCUGAAUUUCCGACACUAAAUCUGAUACUUGUAUCUUCUAGUCUCUGAAUAUCUCUUCCCAAAAGUCUCUUUGCAGGGGCUAUAUGUGCCAAGCACCCCAUGUAUUUUCUACUCAUGCAUCAGCCACCAUAUCAGCAUUUCCAGGAUGCAAAAUAGAACAAUCAUAGUCUUUGAGUAGUUCCAUCCAACAACGCUACCGGAGAUUUAUAUCUCUCUGCUGAAAGAUAUACUUCAGACUUUUAUGGUCAGUAUACACCUCACAAGUUUUUCCAUAUAGAUAAUGUCUCCAAAUUUUUAGAACAAAUACCACUGCAGCCAUCUCCAAAUCAUGUGUAGGAUAGUUUUGCUCGUGCUUUUUCAAUUGUCUCGAAGCAUAUAAAAUAACACAACCAUUUUGCAUGAGAACACAUCCUAAUCACACCCUCGAGGCGUCACAAAAUACUGAAAAUCCUCUAGAACCUAAUAGUAAGACUAAUAUUGGUGCAGUUGUCAGACACAUUUUAAGUUUCUGAAAGCUUUGCUCACAUUCCUCCGUCCACUGGAACAUUGCAUUUUUCUAUGUUAGCUAGGUCAGCGGUGCUGCUAUUCUAGAGAAAUCCUGGACAAAAUGCCUGUAAUAGCCUACUAAACCUAAAAAGCUGCGAAUCUCUGUAGGAGAAAUAGGUCUGGCGCCAUUUCUACACAACUUCGAUCUUCUUAGGAUCUACCAUAAUUUCAUAUUUGGAUAGAAGAUGUCCCCUAAAAUACUACCGAGUCUAGCCAGAAUUCACACUUCGAGAACUUAGCAUAAAGCUGAUGUUCUCGCAAUGUCUGCAACACAGUUUUGAGAUGAUUCUCGUGUUCUCCUUAGGUACGGGAAUAUAUCAGGAUAUCAUCAAUAAAUACUAUUACAAAUCUGUCCAGAAAUGGCUUGAGCACCCUAUUCAUUAAAUCCAUGAAUUUGUUAGUCCGAAAGGCAACAUAAGAAACUCAUAGGGCCAGUAUAGAGUCCUGAAAGAAGUCUUAGAAAUAUCUUCAUCUUUGAUUUUAUGUUGAUGAUAACCAGAAUGGAGGUGAAUCUUUGAAAAGUGGGCAGCUCCUUGUAACUGAUCGAAUAUGUCAUCUAUACAAGGCAAAGGAUAUUUAUUGCGUAUUGUUAUCUUGUUCAACUACCUGUAGUCAAUGCACAUUCUCAGGGAUUUGUCUUUCUUCUUUACGAACAAUGGUGGUGCACCCCAUGGUGAUACACUAGGUCUAAUAAAACCCCUAUCUAACAAAUAUUGUAACUGUUGCUUUAGUUCCCUCAACCUCUGUUGGUGCCAUUCGAUAUAGGGGGUAUCGAUAUGGGCUGUUUGUCAGGUAGCAAAUCAAUACCAAAGUCUAUUUCUCGUACUAGAGGCAAUCCUAGUAAAUCCUUAGGAAAUACAUCAAACAAUUCUCCCACUAUGGGUACAUUUUAUAUGCUAACGGUUUCCUUUCUUGUGUUAUUUAUAAUUGCUAAGAGACACAAGCAACCUUUCUUCAGAAGUCGUUGAGCCUUCAUAAAAGAUACAAUUUUGCAAGUCUUUGGAACUUGACUCCCUCUUAGAAUAAAGUGGGUUCAUUUGGUAUCUCAAACUUAACUAUCUUUGCAUGACAAUCGACUAUAGCAUAGCAAGAAGAUAACCAAUCCAUUCCCAUAAGCAUGUCAAAGUCAAUCAUAUCAAGUACAAUAAGGUCAGUUAGAGUAUCUCUAACCUCAACCUGAAUCUGACAAACAUGAUCCACGUAUUCAGCUAAUAGAGACUCUCCAACACGAGUAGCAACUAGAAAAGGAUCAUUCAAUAGCUCAGGAUGUCUACUAAAUCUCAAAGCAAAGUACGAGGACACAUAUGAGUGAGUAGAUCCCGGAUAAAUCAACGCAGGUGCAUCAAAUGAACAGAAAUAAAGAAUACAUGUAACCACAUCUCUCAAGGCCUGAGCAUCCUGUCUAGUAAAUGCAAAAACUCUCAUCUGACCUCUACCAGCAUUGCCUUGUCCUUGAUUCACAGUAGCAUGGUCUCCAGCACCUAGACCUCUAUUUCCUGUACCUGUAGCACCUGAAGUAUUAUGAGUAGUCUGAGUCGGUGUAGCUGACAAAAUAGAAGCCUAGUUAAAAUUUCUUGGAGGCUGAGGGCAAUCCCUCAACUGAUGUCCAAACUGGUCACACCGAAAGCACUCUCCAGUUAGAACAUGACAUUGGCCCAAAUGUGAUCUACCACAAGUCUGGAGGAAUGGAGUAGUGGCAUAUAUCUGCCCAGAAUUACGAUGUCCAGAAGAUGAUGGUCCCCUAUUACCUUGUCUGUAAUGUGGUCUGUACGUGGACUGUGAAGACAUGUGUGUCCAUAUAUGAGAACCAUGUUGUUAUUGUCCCUGAUUCCCUGCUCUUCUAUUUUCACUAAAACCACCACUGAUGUGGAUUGUGAAGACAUGUGUAUCCCUAUCUAAGAACCUUGUUGUUGUUGUUGUCCCUGAUUUCCUGCUCUUCUAAUUUCACUAAAACCACUGUCACACCCCCUUUUUAAUAAACUCUAUUUAUUCCUCUUAAAUAAAUAAAAAGAUUUAUAAAGCUUGAAAAAAAGGGUUUUAAAUUUUUCAACGUGACAAAGAUCGUAUUCGAAAUGAAAACUCAGAGUCGCCACCUGGCAAUUGAUUUCGAUGUGCCAGGUCCGAUUUUUUUUAAAAAAAUAGUUUUCCUUUUAAAACACUUGGACUCAAAACUAAGUCCGCACCAGAUGUUUGGGUAAGGGGGUUUAUUUGACUCAGGGAGAAGGUUUUAGGAACCCCCCAAGUCCCGUGAAGGUCAGGAUCACGUACUCGAUCUAAUUGGCUUUUAGAAUAUUCGAAUUAAGAUAAAACACACAAAAGAAGAUAAACACAAAGAGGUUUGAGGUUGUCCGUGCCUAAGAUAAAAGAAAAAUAAGAAUAAAAUUAAAUACUACACAAACUCGUCACAGCCUCCAGAAUAUUUACAAAAUAAGGAGAAUUAAAUAAAAGGGAACUUCAACUCAUCGUCGUUUUCAUUUUUAAUAGUGAACUCCCCAGAUCCCCUUAUCAUUCUAUCCAAAUAAACAUAUAAACAGUGGAAAACACUAGCCAAUUAGGCUAAAUCACAAGACCAAAUAGUGAACAUGGAAACAUAUAAAAAUUGAAUAUAAACACCUAAGAGGGAACUAUCCAGAAGGUAUGGGCUAAUGGACUAACUAGUAAAAUAAAUAACAAAUAAAAGUAAAACAGGAGAAUGCCACGAUCAGGGCUGGAAUAUAUGACAAACACCUUGCAAUGUCAUUUUAUUUUCUCAAGGUACUCCUUAAUCCAUAGCUCAAAUCAAACAGGCGCAAGUAUAGACCCCUUUUGUGUUUUAAAUUCAAAAGAAACAAGCCAAUCAUCCUCUCAGGGUCUAUCACUCAUACGCUUAAAGUGGAAGACACAUGAGGAAUCGACAGUGACAUUAUUCACAUUUCAUGUAAGUAGGACAUUAGAUAGGCAACUCAAGGAAAACAAGGACACCUAUCGGAAUGGCACGAGAACAGAAUGAAAUCAUCAAGAAACAGAGCACGUUCACAUUGAGGCACGACAAAUCAGUUGAACGUGCAAACAUAACUCACUCCAAAUCUAUGAGUAGCCAAACUUAAUUAAUCAGAAGAAAUCGAUGGCAAACUAAUCUUAAAAAAACUAAUGGCCUAGAAACUACAAGGACUAGAUUGUUGAAGACAAAAUCAACUCGACUUCAAUUCUAAACCAGUAGUUACACUUCAUCAAACUUCCAUUUAAUCCUUGAACUUAAACAAGAAGGUUAACUGGUUUUUGGAUUUUAUGAUAGGAUUUUAUGAUAGGUUUAAGUAUGAUAUGUGAUUAUCAGUCAGUCUGGGAGGAGAAACAGUGCAAGGAAUUAUGCAGAUUCAAAUCAAAUUGCGACAUCAGAGAAAUCAUGAUAGAAUGAUGGACUAAGCACACACGAACUAAUGGAAUUGACUCGAUUAAGAUUCAAGGAUUCGUUCAGUUUUAGAAAUUAAGCAGAGCUAACCAAGCUAAUAAUAUACAGAGAACAUCAGAAUAGUUUCAAAAACUCAUUUUAACAUAUAAACUCAACCAAACCAAGUAGUAAUAUUCAUGAUAAUGGCAAACAAACACAUUACGACCAACAGUCACAAGACCGAUUCGAGUUUCAUUUGUUAAUCUCAAGAGCCAAUACUUUCCUCUAAUAGUAACCGAGCAUUAGGCAAUUCCUAACCAAGUAAGCUUCAACUCGUAUCUUGUUUCAAUCAACACAAAAAUUAGGGAGAAAGGGAAUCCAAAAGGAACCUGAAUAUGAGCUUUUGAUUAAUCUUGUUUGGAAGCAAUACAGAGAAAAAUGGCGUCAUAAUUCGAGUAUCUGACAGAGAGGAUGCAAGGAAGUAACAAAACAAGUGUAAGAGCCACAAACUUCGGACUCGUCAACUCCAAACGCAUCGAACGAAUUCCAUAAUUUGACCACCAAAUUUCGAAAUUCAAACAGAAGAAAAGAAUAUAUAUAUAUAUAUAUAUAUAUAUAUAUAU